AAUGGUCGAAAGACUGAACUAGCAAUUAGGAAAAUUAGCAGAUUAUAAUUUUAGUUAAAAUAACAAAAGAUAUUUUAAUUAAUAGUCUUGACCAAGGUUUGUGCCAGCAGUCGCGGCAACACAAUAAAGACUAGUGUUAUUCAUAUUAAUUUGGUUUAAAAGUGCAUAGACUGUAUAUUAUAAUUUAAUAUAUAAAAUAAUAAUAUACUAGAGUUAUUAUAUUAGAAGAUAAGUAUUAUAGAGUAGAUUUGAUAGUCAUAAAUCUAAAAGGUAGAUAAAUAUGAAAAUAUAUCUUUAUUAAUAACUGACGUUGAGGAACGUAGCUUUGGGCAGUGAAUAGGAAUAGGUAACCUAGUAAUCCAAAGUGUCAAUGAUGAAUGUCAUAAAUUAAAUUUUAUAAAUGAAAAUGUAAGCAUUCUACCUUAAGAGUAAUAUGGCAACAUAGAAACUGAAAUCAUUAGGCCGUCCUUGGGAUAAGCAGUGAGGUAUGUUGUUUAAUUCGAUAACCCUCGAUAAAUCUUACCAAAACAUGUAUUUAUACAGGAGUUGCAUGGCUGUCGUUAGUACUUGUCGUAAGACAUAUUAGAGUUAUGGAAAUUACGAAUAACCCGCUUUAACAUUUAUUUAAAAUGUAAAGAAUUUAGGGACUAAGACCAGUCUUUAUGACCUUUAUAGUUUUU
rnacentral:rRNA from 3 species